UCUGUGGCCUACCACCCUGAACACACGAGAUCUGGUCUAAUUUCAGAAGCUAAGCAGGGUCAGGCCUGGUUAGUACUUGGAUUGGAGAACUAUUUACCCUGGCUGGCCUCAAAU
rnacentral:rRNA from 1 species